rnacentral:rRNA from 1 species
UACAGAGGGUGCAAGCGUUAAUCGGAAUUACUGGGCGUAAAGGGUGCGUAGGUGGUCAAUUAAGUCAGAUGUGAAAUCCCUGGGCUUAACCUAGGAAUGGCAUAUGAAACUGGUUGACUAGAGUGUGGGAGAGGGAAGUGGAAUUUCCGGUGUAGCGGUGAAAUGCGUAGAUAUCGGAAGGAACACCAGUGGCGAAGGCGACUUCCUGGCCCGAUACUGACACUGAGGCACGAAAGCGUGGGGAGCGAACAGG